CCUCCCCUGUGUCCCCCCCCCCCCAAGGCCUUCCCCGGUCCCAGGGUGGCCACACAUCCCCGCCCACGGAAAGUGCCAAGAGGCGGGAGGUGCUGCAAAACUUGAGCUCCGUCAAAGGAGCACGGGGGGCGGGGGGGUGGGGGGAUGUCCGACCCCCAGCUCCCAGCCUCUCCCUCCCCGCGGGCAGCCCCCCGAAGGGGAUACUGCCGGCCGGGAUCCGGGCCUGCAACCGAGGAUGCUUCCGGCCAUGGGGGUGCACUGCCCCUGCACGAUUUGCAGAAACUCACUUUCCCACUCCAGCGCGGCCCCCCCGGGAUGGAGGGAUGCCGAUGGGGAGGGGGCCGUGCUGGUCCCCUGUCCCCCGGUCCCGCUCCAAGCGUCCCACAUCCAUCCCGGGAGAGGGGGGCGGCGGCACGGAAGGCACCGGGGAGCUGCAAAGGGAGGCAGGAGGACGGAGGGAGCGGGAGGAGGGGACGGGGGAAGAGGCGGGGAGCGAGGACGGGGGGGGGUCCCCGUGCUUGCUGGCUCCGCCCCUCCCGCCUCCCUCCCUGCUUCCAGGCGGGCGCUUUCCUCUCCACGAGCUCCCCGCCCUUCGGAGGAGGAAAGCGGCGGCGGCGGCGGGCUCCGCCUUUCCCGCCCGCCGGAGCCCACCGGGCCCCACGGGGGCUGGAGGGACGCGGCCCCUCCGCUCUGCACCUGCCCGUCGCCGAGGACCGAACCGCGGAGCCCCGGGAGAGGGGAGCCUGAGCGCGCGCGGAAUUCCCACGCCUCCCGGGAGAGGGGAGCCUGCGCGCGCGCCGAAUUCCCACGCCUUCCCACCCGGCCCGGGAAAAGGGAGCCUGCGCCCGCUCCGAAUUCCCACCCCUUCCCACCCGGCCCGGGAGAGGGGAACCUGCGCGCGCGCGCGCGGAAUUCCCACGCUUCCCCCACCCGGCCCGGGAAAAGGGGGGUGGGGGUCUUCCCCGCGCCCCUCCCCGUCCGAAGAAAAGUCUCUGACGCCCCCAAAGACGAAGCCUCCAGCUCGGGCACUUCAAUUAGAGGUGCUGGACCGCUUAUUGGGCUCAUGGAUCCCACAGAACUGAUCCCGUAG
rnacentral:lncRNA from 1 species